AAAAACAGCGCAAGUCUCGCGAGACCGGAGCGGUCGCUGUGGAAAAAUGGCCGCUCACGGAACGAUUCCUGGAACGGGGAACAACAUCAAAUACAGUCCGGGGCGUGACAGCUGACCUACGGCGAACCCGGUUUUGUCCGUCCUUUGCCCGACUUCCGAACGAAUGGGUAAAGAGGCCUGCGACAAGGGGCAUAAGGAACCACAGCGAGUCCGUUUAAAUAGUCGGAAGAAGCGGGGAGCUAGCUAGAAAGCUAACGUUGCUCAACGUUGGCUAGCUUGCUAGCUAACCUAAGACAAGGCGCGCGAGCCUGAAUCAGCGCCUUGGGUUUCGGUGUGCUAAUCUGAAAGCUAGCCGAAAACAGCCGCAGGAAUGAGCGGACCGGGACAAGACAGCGAGCCAGAGGCCAAAAUCCUUCACAUCAAGCGGCUGUACAGGGCCGUGGUGGAAUCCGUACACAAGCUGGACGUGAUCAUCGGCAGCAAGUCGUCCUACAGGGAGGUCUUCAAGCCGGAGAACAUCAGCCUGAGGAACAAACUGCGUGAGCUGUGUGUAAAGCUGAUGUUCUUGCACCCGGUGGAUUACGGCCGCAAGGCGGAGGAGCUGCUCUGGAGGAAGGUCUACUACGAGGUCAUUCAAGUCAUCAAGACCAACAAGAAGCACAUUCACAGCCGCAGUGCUCUGGAGUGCGCCUACAGGACUCACCUGAUCGCUGGAGUCGGAUUCUACCAGCACCUCCUGCUCUACAUCCAGUCCCACUACCAGCUGGAGCUGCAGGACUGCAUCGACUGGACGCACGUCACCGACCCGCUCAUCGGUCGUAAGAAGCCUGUGUCUGCCACGCCUAAGGAGAUGGAGUGGGCACAGAUGGCAUGUCAUCGAUGUCUCGUGUACCUGGGUGACCUCGCGCGGUAUCAGAACGAGCUGGCAGGUGUGGAGGCCGAGCAGCUGGCUGAGCGAUUUUACCACCAGGCCCUGUCCGUCUCGCCAACCAUUGGAAUGCCUUUUAAUCAGCUAGGUACUCUGGCUGGAAGUAAAUUUUAUAACGUAGAAGCUACGUACUAUUACCUGCGCUGCAUUCAGUCCGAGACGCCCUUCGAGGGAGCCUACGGGAACCUGAAGCGUCUGUUUGAUAAAGCGGCCAAGAUGUACCAUCAGGUGAAGAAACAAGAGAUGAAGAAGCUCUCACCGUCACGCCAGAGAUCAAAGGACAUCAAGCGACUCCUCGUAAGCUUCAUGUACCUCCAAAGUUUACUGCAGCCCAAGAACAGCGUGAUCGACACGGAACUGACGGCGCUGUGCCAGUCAGUCCUGGAGGACUUUAACCUGGUGCUGUUCUACCAGCCCACGCCGAGUCCCGGCAGCCAGUCCGUCAGCGAGGAGGAAGACGAGCACGAUCAGGCCUGCAGCGUGCUGCCCGACAGCCUGGUCUUCAAAAUGGUGGUGAUCUGCCUUAUGGUGGUGCACAGCUUAAAGAGAGGAGGUUCGAAGCAGUACAGCGCCUCCAUCGCCUUCACGCUAGCACUUUUCUCCCAUCUGGUGAACCACGUGAACAUCCGGCUACAAGCCGAGCUCGAACAAGGGGAGAGCGACGUCCCGCCGCUACGCACCGACGCCGCGGAUGACGCUGAUCCUAGAGAGCAGACGAACACACUUCCUUCAGAGGACAGACCGCUGCAGAACGGCUCUAUAGAGGAAGAAGACGGAGACGACGAGAACGACGAAGACGAGUCGAAAGGCGACGACGCGGCGGUUUCUAAGAAAGGCUCGGCGAAGAAGAGCGGCGAGGAGAAGCCGAAACAGAAGAGGAAAUACUCGCGUCUGUCCAUGCUGCGGCGGCGGCGCUGCGCUCGCGACGAGGACGAGAGUGACCUGAGCGAAGGCUUCGAGAGCGACGAAGAGGAGGACGAAGAGCCUCAGAGAACGGACGGCUCGGGGGUCCCCGCGAACUCUUCUCUGGGGAAAGAGGGACGCCGGGACGCGGCGGGGGAACAGGGCGUCUGGGAGAGUGGGUCGGAGGAGGAGGAGGAAGAGGGAGGCACCGCGUUCGACGUCGAGACAGACUCCGAUAUGAACAGCCAGGAAUCACGCUCCGAUCUGGAGGACAUUGAGGAUGCGUCGAGUCCGGCGCAAGAGCAGCGACACGAGGAGGAGGAAGAAGAAGAAGAGGAGGAGGAGGAGGAGGAGAAGAAAGAGCGUCCGUCCUGUGACGAAGGCUCCACCCCUCACGCCACCAACGGCCCCCUGCUGUCCAGCGACCCCAUCAUCAGCAGCAACCUGCAGGCCAUGUCCUCGCAGCUCUUCCAAGCCAAACGCUGCUUCCGUCUGGCUCCGACGUUCAGCAACGUCCUGCUUAGACCUUCACACGGCUCCAACGUGGCCUCCGAUUCCGUCCCCUCGCAGGAAUCCACGCCCCCUCCCGGAGACACAACCAGUAACAAGAGUCCAGAGCUGGCUAACGGAACCAACGAUGACGACGUCGACACGGAGGACAGCGAGCACAGCAACCAAUCGUAUCACAGCGAGAAAACACUUUCCGAGAGACUCGGGAUUCUGACAAACCAAGGCCUCAUUCAGGUGGUGAAGGUCUUCGUGGAUUGGAUGAGGACAAAUACUGACAUCAUUCUCAUGUGUGCGCAGAGUUCUCAGAGUUUGUGGAACCGUCUCUCAGUGCUGCUGAACUUACUGCCUGAUGGGAAGAAGGUGCUGGAUGCAGGUCUGGGUCUGAUGGAUGAGGUGGAGGAUCUGCUGGCCCGUAGCGAGCGGCCGGACCUGGUGCAGACGGUGCUGCUGCCGGAGGACCAGGCGCUACGUCACCUACCCGCCCUGAACCUGGCACACCGCCGCCUCGACUUCACUCACCACAGAGCCAGCCUGAGCCCACUGCAGGAGUGUGUGGUGCGCUUGUGCUGCAUCCGCAGCUUCGGCCACUUCCUCACCGGUCUCCAAGGCAACGUGCUGCACUACAACCCGGAGGCGGGGAUUUUCACCAGCAUCAGCCAAUCGGAGCAGGAGAACAUGGUUCAGCAGGCGAAGGCGCAGUUCCGUAUGGCUGAAGAGGAAGCGCGCAGGAACAGGCUCAUGAGGGACAUGGCACAACUCCGCCUGCAGUUAGAGGUGUCCCAGCUAGAGGGCAGUCUUCAGCAACCCAAGGCCCAGUCGUCCAUGUCUCCGUACCUGGUCCCCGACACGGGAGCUCUGUGCCAACACCUGAACCUGCUGCGACAGCUGGCAGCAAGCGGCUGCUUCAUCAUCAUCAUCCCACGCACAGUCAUUGAUGGACUCGAUGUCCUGAAGAAGGAAAACCCUGGAGCGAGGGACAGCAUCCGGUUUUUGGAGUCCGAGUUUAGAAAAGGGAAUCGAUAUAUCCGGUGUCAGAAAGAGUCCGGGAGGAGUUUCGACAGGGAUAAGCUGAAACGACAGGACGUUGAAGCCUGGCACCUUUAUAAAAUGGUGGACAGCUGUCGGCAGCUGACGGGCGCUCAGGGCGGAGACGAGGACACGGCCGGCAUGGUGACCAUCCUGACAGGGUACGAGGUGGAGGAGCUCGCCGACCGCUCCGCCCCCAUGAAGUCGGCCAUCCAGGCAGUGGCCACGGCAGGAAUGGAGCUGAAGAACAUCGUGAAAUUUUACCGGCAGUGGAAGGAAAUGGGCUGAAAGAGACGGAGGGACAGGGGACUCAGCCCGGCGCUCAGCUAAUCACACAUCGACUCCCUCUCUCCUUCUCUCUCUCUCUCUCUCUCUCUCUCUCUCUCUCUCUCUCUCUCUCUCUCUCUUCCUCUCCCCCAUUUUACUGCUCUGUCUGUGUCGCAUCUCCAGGGUUUAAUAAAGAACUCGGAAUAGAGAAGGAAAGACGGAGGGCGAUACGGAAGUGUUUGGAAAAGCACCGAAACGGGACGCAAAAAAAAAAAACCUCCACAAAGGGUUGGAGUGAGAGAGAGAUGAAGCAGCGCUUAAAGUGUGCCUGGUUUUAUCAUGACCAGAUGAAACGAGGCCCUGGAAAACGUCAGCAGCGAGCCUAUUUUGGCGCGUUUUUGGUUCGUUAGCACGCCGUGCGCUCGGACGCAGCUGCAGUCGGCCUCCUGACUGCGUCCACUGCGCAGACGUUUCGCGGAACACGUGACGCUCGACACACAGCAAGCACAGACUCCUUAUUGUAGACUGAGAGUGAUAAAGACGUCCAUUGAGGAUGAUCAUGUGACCGAGCCACGAGCCGAGGGGAAGAAUGUCCAGACACGUGCGGAGAGAGACGAGACGGAUUUAGGACGUCAUGCUGUUGACUCACAACAGUGUCUUUAGAAUCUUUACUUUAUUUCACGCGGUAGAACAGUAUUACUUUUUCAGAUUAAAGCUACGAUCAGUAGCAUUUCAAUCAGACUAACAUGAAUAUUAGUAAUAUUGUCAUAUUUAACAAAGUUUUUGCAGGUAUGCGGGCGGCUUUAAGGAAAUUUCUGCUCAGAUCAGGUGUGAAUGCGAGUGAGAUCGUUUGAAGAAUUAAAUUAGCUCAUUAACGUUUCACAUAUUGCAUUUUUGAAAUAACGUUUGAUAAGAUUAAAGAAAUUGAUCUAUUUUAUUCGCUAGCAGUUCAUGUAGCUUGCUAAUGAUAGAUAAAUUAGCUAGUGGUUAACGUAAACCGGUUAGCUAGCCUAAAUAAUGACAGCGUCGUGGUCGAUAUACGUUCUCUAGCUAAUGAUGGAGAAAUUAGCUAGUGGUUCAGGUUGGUUAGCUGACUAACCUUGUUAGCGUCAGCUUAGCAGUGCAAGUAGUCUAGUGGUUAAUGUUACUUAGCUGGCUAAUCUUGUUAAUGUCAUCUUAGCAGUUAAUGCAAGUUAGCUAGCUAGCUACUGCUAGAUAAAUUAGCUAGUGAUUAAUGUAAACUAGCUAGCUAACCUCCUUACAGCUUAGUAGAAAUGAUCUCUUUGUUAAUCUUAGCUAGCUGGCUAACCUGGUUAUUCUCAGCUCAGGAAUCGCUGUAAAUUGGCUAGCUUACUAAUGAAGGGGAAAUUAUUUAGUGGUUAAUGUUAGUUAGCUGGCUAAUCUUGUUAAUGUCAGCUUAGCGGUUUUAAUUCGGCGAAUAAAUGAAUGAACUUUAUGAUAAAUGUGAAUCAGACAGCCGGAGUUUGGGAACUGUGUGCCGGUAAACUGCGAGAGCAGUGAGAGGAAACGUCCAGUGAAAGCGCAACUUAAUAAUAAGUAAUAACUCCUUAAUACGACACGGUCCCAUCUUCCCG